UCCCUGGUGGCUCAGAGGUUAAAGCAUCUGCCUACAUUGCAGGAGACCUGGGUUCGAUCCCUGGGUUGGGAA
rnacentral:tRNA from 1 species